rnacentral:rRNA from 1 species
AGCGAACGCUGGCGGCAGGCCUAACACAUGCAAGUCGAACGAAGUCUUCGGACUUAGUGGCGGACGGGUGAGUAACACGUGGGAACGUGCCUUUAGGUUCGGAAUAACUCAGGGAAACUUGUGCUAAUACCGAAUGUGCCCUUCGGGGGAAAGAUUUAUCGCCUUUAGAGCGGCCCGCGUCUGAUUAGCUAGUUGGUGAGGGAAAGGCUCACCAAGGCGACGCUCAGUAGCUGGUCUGAGAGGAUGAUCAGCCACAUUGGGAUUGAGACACGGCCCAAACUCCUACGGGAGGCAGCAGUGGGGAAUUUUGCGCAAUGGGCGAAAGCCUGACGCAGCCAUGCCGCGUGAAUGAUGAAGGUCUUAGGAUUGUAAAAUUCUUUCACCGGGGACGAUAAUGACGGUACCCGGAGAAGAAGCCCCGGCUAACUUCGUGCCAGCCGCCGCUGUAA